GGAUGUGAGGGCGAUCUGGCUGCGACAUCUGUCACCCCAUUGAUCGCCAGGGUUGAUUCGGCUGAUCUGGCUGGCUAGGCGGGUGUCCCCUUCCUCCCUCACCGCUCCAUGUGCGUCCCUCCCGAAGCUGCGCGCUCGGUCGAAGAGGACGACCACCCCCGAUAGAGGAGGACCGGUCUUCGGUCAAGGGUAUACGAGUAGCUGUGCUCCCCUGCUAGAAUAUGACUGCACCCAAAAACCACAGAACAUACUUUUUUUUUUUUUUUUUUUGAGACAGAGUCUUGCUGUGUUGCCCAGGCUGGAGCACAGUGGCACAAUUUCAGCUCACUG
ensembl:misc_RNA 7SK 7SK RNA